GUAUUUUUUUUUUCUCGUUUAAAAAAUUCCUCUUCCUCACUUAUUUCCUUCAUUGUACUCUGCAAGGUAACUGUACAUUACACGACUCGAAAAGACACGACAAGACGGUACAACCUACACCGCCACUCUGUCCACCGUGCGUGUUAAAAUUCUGAAAUUGUGUUUUGCUCGACGGGUUGCGUGUUCCUACUCUUGUACUCUUGUUCAGAGAGGUGCUAAUUUGCUUGGAAGUUGUUGGAUUGUUGGCCUGAUUAAGGGCAUCCUGCAAGGUUUAGCAAAUUUAUGCCUGAUAUUUGCGUUCAAUUUUGCAAGUCUGUAAAUGGGAGAUCCGCUUGUGAAAUCACAGAAAAAUCAGAAUGAAGAAGAUUACAAGCACUUUAUUUUGCUGACGAAGGAUGGAAAACUUAUAAGUCGGACACAAUGCUUAAACCCUCCUCUAAAAGUGCCUCGAAAAUGGAAUUUACAUGAAAUUGUUCGAAGGUCUGAGUUAAAUAUCCAUCAUGAUUUACCUCAUUGCUUUUUACGCCCUGCUGCCGAGUGUCCUCGUGACAAGAAAGAGUGGUGUAAAUUUCUAUCCUAUAUUCAGCAAAGAAACUCGGUUGCAAUUGCAAAAUUUGAGUUCUGUGAGUUCUUUAUACUUCCUCCUGAAGAAGGCUCUAAUUUUAGUCACGUUAGAGUUGCAUACCGUGAUGGGAAAGCUUCCGACAAAUAUAUUGGUCAAAAGAAUUGUGAAUCAGUUCUAGAUACUACUGAAGCACGUCAAUUUACACAACGAAGCUUGGAUCGAUCUGAGACUUGUGGUAAUAGUAGCACCAUGUCACCUCCUCACAUCGUUGAGGAUUUUGCUGCCAGGAAAGAUGCAAAUAUGCAGGCAAGAGGUCUGGGUAUUAGUGAAGAUAAUGGCAUGCCUUGUGCCAAGUUUCUGCAGACGACUGGUGAUCACUGUUAUCAUGAACUAACAAAAAGACAUCAACCUUGCAAUGAUAAAAAAGGUGGAACACUGGAGAAAAAUUAUGCUCGAGCAGACCCAAGUUACCUGCAAACUCUUGGUCAAACGCAUUCUGCAUGGAUUUUUGGUGCAAUAGCUGAGCUUGUUGAUAAUUCUAGGGAUGCAAACGCAAGCAGACUGGAUAUUUCUAUUGAGAUCAUAUAUUCAAAAAGGGCUGGCAAAGAUAUUCCUAUGUUGUCAUUUAUAGAUGAUGGCUGUGGAAUGACCCAUCAGGAGGUUGUGAGAAUGACAUGCUUUGGGCACAAACAACCAGAUGCAAAUAAUGUGGAUCGUAUAGGGAGAUUCGGUGUUGGAUUUAAGACUGGGGCAAUGAGGCUUGGGAGGGAUGCUCUUGUUCUUACUCAGACUGCUGAAUCUAGGUCUAUAGCCUUCCUCUCACAAUCGCUAAAUGAAGGAAAAGAUAAUCUAGAGAUUCCCAUUGUAAGCUACCGCAGAAAAGGACAGUUUAUGGAAUUGGAUACAAGUGUCCAGUCUCAAGAUUUAGCGAAGUACAACUUGAAAGCUGUUAAGGAAUUUUCACCAUUUGAUAAGUAUUUGAUAGGUGAAAAAGCAGGUUUGUUUGAUAAAAGACACACAGGAACUCAAAUAUACAUAUGGAACCUGGAUGAGUGGGGCUCAGGUUAUUGUCUGGAUUGGACUACUGGACUGACUGGUGGGAGCUCCUUUCACCAAGGUGAUAUAUUUAUCCGUUCUAAAAGGGUCAGAUCUCGUCCUGGCCAGAUGAGUCAAAAGGUGCCCCUAGAUUACUCACUUAGAUGUUAUCUAGAGGUCAUCUUUUUAGUUCCACGAAUGAAGAUAUAUGUUCAAGGUUCACCGGUUAAAUGUCGACCAUUGGGCAAAUCUUUGAAUAAGACUUGUGAAGUAACUGGUAAUAUAAUUGGCAAAGGUGUUAAUUUAACUCUUGGUCGCUGUCAGUUAGAGUGGGAGCAGGGAAAUUGUGGAAUGUUUUUGUAUUGGCAUGGCCGCUUAAUCGAGGCUUAUAAAAGAGUUGGUGGCAUGAUACACAAUGGAGAUGUGGGACGAGGCAUGAUUGGCGUCAUAGAUGUUACCGAUCUAAUGGACAAUGGGAAUGGUCGUGUGUGGGUGCAUAGCAACAAGCAAGGUUUUCAGGACUGUGAAGCUUAUGCUCAACUAGAGGAGUGGCUGGGGAAAAAGGCAGAUGAAUAUUGGGAUAAAAAUCAUGAUCCUGUGCAGCUGUUCCAGAAGAAGGGUGGUUUGUUGUACCAGCCUGACCAUGAAUGGGUCCAAUGCGACAAGUGUAGAAAGUGGAGGACGUUGAGUCCUGGAUUUGACAGCAAGCGUUUACCUAAAGAAUGGUACUCAUGUUUUGCUAUAUGGAACCUUUUGAGGGAUCAUGCGAAACUCCCGAGCAAAAGGUUGAAAGUGGGGUGAUUACACUUACUGCAAAACGAACCGGAUAUGAUAGAAGAGAUGUUAAAGAUGAUGCAACAAUCGCGUCUGGAGAAACAGAGAAGUAUGAUGCUAUACGAGGUUUAAAGAGGUUGAAGAAGGGACUUCCUAGGGCUUGUAAGAAGACUAUAUAAUGUAGAGUAGUAGAGGUGCUCAGUCUACAAUGCCAAACGUAGUUCACUCAUGGACAGGUGCACCGAUGUAAAGUGUUAGAAAUUUUGCAGAUUUUAAGCUUUUUGGUCUUACAGCUGAUUGGAGCAUUUUUUGUAUAUGAAAAUAGUGCAUAUUAUAACCAGUUAUGCAAGUAUAAAGAAGAAUAGAUUUUUGUUGUAUGAA